UACGAAGGGGGCUAGCGUUGUUCGGAAUUACUGGGCGUAAAGAGCUCGUAGGUGGUUCGGUAAGUCGGAUGUGAAAUCUCCAGGCUCAACCUGGAGGGGUCAUUCGAUACUGCCGUGACUAGAGUUCGGUAGGGGAGUGUGGAAUUCCUGGUGGAGCGGUGAAAUGCGCAGAUAUCAGGAGGAACACCCGUAGCGAAGGCGGCACUCUGGGCCGAUACUGACACUGAGGAGCGAAAGCGUGGGGAGCGAACAGG
rnacentral:rRNA from 1 species